rnacentral:misc_RNA from 1 species
AACGCACCUUGCGCCCCUUGGCAUUCCGAGGGGCACACCCGUUUGAGUGUCGUGAAUUCAUCAAAACCUUUUCUUUGAUUCUUUUCGGUCAGGAAAAGGAUUUUUGGACUUGGAGGUUCUAUGCUUGCUUUCGCUUAUGAAAGUGAGCUCCUCUCAAAUGAAUUAGUGGGGUCUGCUUUGCUGAUCCUUGAUGUGAUAAGAUGUUUCUACAUUUUGGAUUUAGCACUGUCCCUUGGACACCUGCUCCUAACUGUCCCUUGGACAAUGAUGGUGCUUCGGUUGCCGCCAUCUACAUUGGCGGGGGCCGGACCCACCAAAAAAAAAAAACCUUGACCUCAAAUCGGGUGAGACUACCCGCUGAACUUAA